rnacentral:rRNA from 1 species
CCUACGGGAGGCAGCAGUGGGGAAUAUUGGACAAUGGGGGGAACCCUGAUCCAGCCAUGCCGCGUGUGUGAAGAAGGCCCUCGGGUUGUAAAGCACUUUCAGUGAGGAAGAACGCCUGGUGGUUAAUACCCAUCAGGAAAGACAUCACUCACAGAAGAAGCACCGGCUAACUCCGUGCCAGCAGCCGCGGUAAUACGGAGGGUGCGAGCGUUAAUCGGAAUUACUGGGCGUAAAGCGCGCGUAGGUGGCUUGAUAAGCCGGUUGUGAAAGCCCCGGGCUCAACCUUGGAACGGCAUCCGGAACUGUCAAGCUAGAGUGCAGGAGAGGAAGGUAGAAUUCCCGGUGUAGCGGUGAAAUGCGUAGAGAUCGGGAGGAAUACCAGUGGCGAAGGCGGCCUUCUGGACUGACACUGACACUGAGGUGCGAAAGCGUGGGUAGCAAACAGGAUUAGAUACCCCUGUAGUC